rnacentral:rRNA from 1 species
AUUGAACGCUGGCGGCAGGCUUAACACAUGCAAGUCGAGCGAGCGGCGGACGGGUGAGUAAUGUAUGGGAAACUGCCUGAUGGAGGGCGACAACAACUGGAAACGGAUGCUAAUUCCGCAUACCAGAAGAUGUGUCCAGAUGGGAUUAGCUUGUAGGUGGGGUAAAGGCUCACCUAGGCGACGAACCCUAACGGGUCUGAGAGGAUGACCAGCCACACUGGAACUGAGACACGGUCCAGACUCCUACGGGAGGCAGCAGUGGGGAAGAUUGGACAAUGGGCGAAAGCCUGAUGCAGCCAUGCCGCGUGUGUGAAGAAGGCCUUCGGGUUGUAAAGCACUUUCAGCGGGGAGGCGUUACUCGCAGAAGAAGCACCGGCUAACUCCGUGCCAGCAGCCGCGGUAAUUC